GAUUGUUCUGUUGAUUCAUAUGCGAGGCAGCAAACACAAGAAAUGGCAAUUAGGACUUAGCAAACUCAAUUAUUUUCCUUAGCCUUUGAGUUUACAUACUAUUCUAUAGAUUGUAUAUACAUAGUUAGACUAGAGAAUAUGAUUCUUGUAUUAGUAUAGUAGUUAGUCCAAAACUACUAUCAUGAUCACUGAUGUACAUUACUUUGUUAUCAAUGAAAGCUAAAUUUAAAAAAAAAAAAAUU
rnacentral:lncRNA from 1 species